GUAGCUAAUGUCACUAACUGGACCAGCCAUAGAACAUCAGCUGACAAUAACUAUCUAUUUUUAUUUUUGUGUUGACAACAACUGCAAAGUUUAGUGUAUGUGCAACUACAAGCAAGUACAGGCUUCUGGGGUAACAUUUCAUCAGUUACCUGCCGGAGAUAUUCCUCGGAGCCGACAGUGGCUGGCGGCAAUAAAGAACGCUGCUUAUAAUGUGAAUCCUCCCGUGGAGAAUUCUGUGUUUAAGGCCAGCACUUUCAGUCUGCUAAUUUAAAAAAUUACCUGAAAAAUAUGAUCUCAACUGAUGGGGUUGCCAGGUCAUAGAAAGUUGAAAAGUGAAGCUAUUCCAUUUAUUUCCCCCAUCACUUCAAAGAGGAAGGCAUCCAAUCAGCCAACAUCAGCGCAGCAGAAAACAAGUCGAGCAGAGAGUCCGAUCCCAUCAACAUCAAGCUCAGCACCAGGAACUAGUGAGACUUUCAGUACAAACAAAUCUUCUGCAAGAGGUCGAAGUAGUGGGUGAUUGAAGAGUGUACGAACCCAGAACUGACCACUUCAGGGAGAGGCUUGUCCACCUGGCUGCGGAGCGGAGAACAGACAAGACGGCGGUCUACAAGCAGCCAGUCACAGCUUCCCAAACCCAACAACCCUGCCAACAGCGCCAAAGACUGCUAAACCAGCUGCCAAAAACAAGGUUCACCAGCUGAAGAACAUUCAGGACCCUGUCUGGAACAUUCAGCCUACACAACAUCCAUAUUCAUUUAGACUGAUGUUGUACUAUCAUAUAGAAUGCCUAGUAUGCUCACAACUGCAUUGUGGUGUAGAUAUUGCUAGCUCUUGUAUACAUGUAUAUAGUGGAGUUUGAUCAAAUGUUUUAUGUCAUCUUUUUUACAAGGGUAUUGAUAAGUGACUAAAUGAUUCCAGCAGCAUCAGAAAACAAAGUAUUGACAACUUCUGGAUCAAUUCAUUGUGGUAUUCAUGUAAUGUAUUUGGAAGUAACUAGCUACAAUCUUGAUGCUAAAACAAGUGAUGCAUGGACUUGGUGUAUCAUUUCAACUUUCAUUUGUUGGCAAGUAAACAUGUUUCAAUAAAACAGUAGAUUAGUCUGUCAAUAGUAAGUAGAUUGACAGUAGAUUAGUCUGUCAAUAGUAAGUAGAUUGACAGUAGAUUAGUCUGUCAAUAGUAAGUAGAUUGACAGUAGAUUAGUCUGUUAAUAGUAAGUAGAUUGACAGUAGAUUAGUCUGUCAAUAGUAAGUAGAUUGACAGUAGAUUAGUCUGUCAAUAGUAAGUAGAUUGACAGUAGAUUAGUCUGUCAAUAGUAAGUAGAUUGACAGUAGAUUAGUCUGUCAAUAUGGCAAACAAGUAGAAAUGGCAAGAGAAAGUUUAAAUGCUCUGGAGACUCAGGUGAGUUUACACAGCAGUAUGCAGGAGCAGUUAUGGCAAUGUAUGGCAUACACACUGAGUGUACAAAACAUUAGGGACAGACUGACCAGGUGAAAGCUUUGAUUCCGUAUUGAUGUCACUUGUUAAAUCCACUUCAAUCAGUGUAGAUGAAGGGGAAAAGACAGCU